GUAGGUAUAGUUUAAUUAAAAUUUUAGAUUGUGAUUCUAAAGAUAAAGGUUAAACCCCUUUUACCCACC
rnacentral:tRNA from 3 species